CAUUUCCUGUACGUAUUUCAUCCAUCAAAUCAUGUUUUCCAGUAUGUAAAUAAGAGCCAUCAGUGCAUCAUUUUAAAAUCCAUCCAUACUGUGCUAAAUAAACUACAGAUCCUUGACCUAAGAACCUUAAAAGGGUCCCCCAAAUUACUCUAGACGUGUUUUUCCACCUAUAUGAUAUCCAAAUAUGCAGUUCUGGGAGUCCCAACAUUAAAAUGGAGGACAAAUCCUAACAAAUUUGAUAUUAGGCGUUGAUUAUUCAACAGGAUUAUCCCCACACUUGGCUGAGGACACGUUUUGAUUGGAACUACUUUCUGACACUGUUGGCAGGUCUUUGCAUUAACUUGAGGAACAAUCAUAUUGGGGAGGGGGUUGGAGUUUCAGAUGUGGUUUUCUCAUCACAUUAGCAGAUAAAACGAAACCAUCAGCAAGGUUAGCAAGAGGCGGACAUGCAGAGAUAUUUUACUGACACUUACCUGCGAAAUCACCGUGGAGAAGUUCUUUCAGCGCAGGUCCAUAAAGCGACAUUAAUGUAUAUUUAAUUCCAUAUAACUUUUGUUCUGUUUCGAAGAAAACUGAAAGCAGAGCGACGGCGCCACUUGCCCCUUCUCCGCUGAGGACGAGCGGGGGAGGACUGCAAUACGGGAAAUAGCUGAGUCACGAGACCAUUUCUUGGAAGUGUGAAGCCAGACGAGAGGCAACAGAGAGCUAAAAGUGCACACACUAAAACACAGGAUAAAGUGAGCCAUGCACACAGGUGAAGAAAAGGUCUGCAGCUAACUUUCAUAUCAUUAAACAUCCUAAAAUCUACGAGAUAGGACAGGUGCAGAGGUGGACAAAGAAUGUGUCUCCUUAACUUGAGUAAAAGAACUAAUAGCCUACCACACUGUAACACAAGUACUGCAUUAAGAGUGGUACUUAAUAAAAGGUACCAUUAGGGAAAUGUACUUCCCAAGUAAAAGACAGAAGAAACUCGUAAAAUAUUAAAAUAAUUUAAAACAUUUUAAAGCAAAAUCUUAAUUCCAAUACAUUUUCAGUUAACCAACUUGUGGUUUUAGUUACUUAAAUAUAAUGUUGGAUGGUUUAAUCUAUCAAGGAGGAACCAGUCAUUUUAUGAGAGGGGCAAAUUGAAUACUGGACAAAAGACAACCCCCAGAACCGCCCAUAAACCCAUGUGCAUUUUGGGGUAAAACAUACAUUAUUUCCUAAACAAAUGUACAUUAAAGGAUCUUAAACAUGUCUGUAGUAACUGUAAUGUUAUGUCUCAUGUCUGUUUAUAUGUUUAUUAUCUUGUAUACUUUUUGUGAUUGGCUCUCUUGUAGUGUUUUUAUUUUAUUAGUCUUUGCUGCAACACUAUCACAAAUUGCAUUAUCAUAGAUUCUUCUUUUGGAAGGUGGGGCCACAGAACCACCCAUGUUUUGCAUAUAACAAUAAAGUCUUUGAAUCCUUGAA